rnacentral:rRNA from 1 species
GGGCCCGCACAAGCGGUGGAGUAUGUGGUUUAAUUCGAUGCAACGCGAAGAACCUUACCAGGGUUUGACAUCCUGCGAAUUUCUGGGAAACCGGAAAGUGCCUUCGGGAGCGCAGUGACAGGUGGUGCAUGGCUGUCGUCAGCUCGUGUCGUGAGAUGUUGGGUUAAGUCCCGCAACGAGCGCAACCCUUAUCCUAUGUUGCCAGCACGUUAUGGUGGGGACUCGUGGGAGACUGCCGGUGUUAAACCGGAGGAAGUGUGGAUGACGUCAAGUCAUCAUGCCCCUUACAUCCUGGGCUACACACGUACUACAAUGCUACGGACAAAGGGCAGCAAGUUCGCGAGGACAAGCAAAUCCCAUAAACCGUGGCUC